UGGGGACCACAGGAUCCUGGGCUGUGUCCCCCGGCGCCCUGGGAUCCGGGGCCUGCGCCGCUGGAAUUGCACCCCCCGGGGCCGAGCUCCCGA
rnacentral:pre_miRNA from 1 species